rnacentral:rRNA from 1 species
AUGAUUGAUGAGUUCGAAGCAGACACACGAGCCAUCACCCAGCCGUCUGCGCGCAAGUUCUCCUUCAAAAAAUAUUUGGUGUUCAUGAUCCCUUGUCUCACAAUUGGCCCCAACAUUACAAUGGCCAAUAGGAUGAAGAACAUGAGGGACGACCUCAAGGUCAUAACAGAUCAACACAAGGAAUUCAAGUUACCAGAUUGCACUAAUGCCAAUGAGCCAAAGGUGAAUGAUAUACGGGAAACAUCAUCAAACCUGGAGACACAAAUCAUUGGGAGGACUGAAGAGAGAGACAUAAUAUUGGCUUCUUUAUCUGAGAGCAUGACAAAGGAUAUCACAAUCCUUCCUAUAUAUGGCAUUGGAGGCCUUGGCAAGACAACCUUGGCAAAAAUGGUUUACAAUAGUUCCCAAUUCAAUGAAUACUCUCAAGUGUGGGUUUAUGUGUCUCAGACAUUUGAUUUGAUCAAAAUUGGGAACUCUAUAAUAUCACAACUAUCAGAGAAAGAUAAAGAGAGUGGGUACACUGGAAAGCAGAUGAUCCAUAAUUCCCUUGAAAAGCUCCUUGCCAACAAGAAGGUUCUGAUUGUUUUAGAUGACCUGUGGGAAGACAACAUAUCUCAGUUGGAAGAACUGAAAGAUAUGUUAAAAGCUGCGGAGAGCAGUAAGGUGGUUAUUAUAGCAACCACACGAAGUGAAGGUAUUGCGAAGAAAAUGUCUACCAUCCAACCAUACAAAUUAGCACCAUUGACUGAUGAUAUGUGUUGGUCUAUUAUAAAGCAAAAGAGUGCAUUUGAAUCUAGAGGUGACAAAGAACAAUUGGAAGAAAUAGGGAAGGUCAUUGCAAUGAAGUGUGCGGGUGUGGCUUUAGCAGCUAAAUCACUUGGGCACAUGUUGCAAUCUAUGAAAUAUGGUCAAUGGGAAUCAGUGAGAGAUAGUAAUAUCUGGACUGCACCUUCUUUGGAAGAUACAUCUUCUACACAAGUGCUUGCAUCUCUAAAGUUAAUUUAUAGUGUUUUGCCUUCAUAUCUGAAGCUAUGCUUUGCCUAUUGUGCAAUAUUUCCAAAAGGUCACAAGAUACUUAAAGAUGAUCUUAUUCAUCAGUGGUUUCUCUUGGUUUCUCUUCCUGGGAACUCGGCGAAAGAUACAUUAGUCAGCUUUUGGGCCUUUCUUUUCUUGACCAUUUCAACUACCUUUUACGAUUUGUUUUCAUUGUUCUGUUGGAACUGA